rnacentral:rRNA from 1 species
AGGGAAUAGAUACCCGGGUAGUCCUGGCAGUAAACGGUGCACGUUUGGUGUGGGCGCAAUCGACCGCGUCCGCGCCGGAGCUAAACGCGUUAAACGUGCCGCCUGGGAAGUACGGUCGCAAGAUUAAAGCUCAAAGAAAUUGACGGGGACCCGCACAAGCGGUGGAGUAUGUGGCUUAAUUCGAUGCAACGCGAAGAACCUUACCUGGUCUUGACAUGCAUUGUGUCUCCGGUGAAAGCCGGAUAGGGUAGCAAUACCCGCUUUGCACAGGUGCUGCAUGGCUGUCGUCAGCUCGUGUCGUGAGAUGUUGGGUUUAAAGUCCCGCAACGAGCGCAACCCCUGUGAUUUGUUGCCACCGGCUUAUGCCGAGCACUCGAAUCAGACUGCCUCGAUCAACGAGGAGGAAGGUGGGGUAUGACGUCAAGUCCGUAUGGCCCUUACGACCAGGGCUGCACACGUACUACAAUGCCCAGUACAAUGUGAACCGAGACCGCGAGGUGGAGGAAAUCAAU